rfam:Dipodomys ordii ctg_broad_rename0048099, whole genome shotgun sequence.
AAUAAGACGAGAAGACCCUAUGGAGCUUAAAUUAAUAUUCCAACUUAAACAACUUCAAAUCUAAUCGAUGUAAAAUCUGCAACCACUGGAAUAAACAUUUUGGUUGGGGUGACCUCGGAGCAUAAAAAAACCUCCGAAGGACUAACAUUAAGACCAACUAGUCCAAAUUAUAAAUGUCCAAAUAUUGACCCAGAAAUAAUUCUGAUCAAUGAACCAAGUUACCCUAGGGAUAACAGCGCAAUCUUGUUAAAGAGUUCAUAUCGACAAUAAGGUUUACGACCUCGAUGUUGGAUCAGGACAUCCCAAUGGUGCAGCAGCUAUUAAAGGUUCGUUUGUUCAACGAUUAAAGUCCUACGUGAUCUGAGUUCAGACCGGAGCAAUCCAGGUCGGUUUCUAUCUAUU